AUGGACGAGUUCAACAAUGUGGUGGCAUGGGCGCAGAUGAUGCAUAGGCUGGUGGAGCUAGAGCAGCUGAAGCUCCAGACAUGGAAGAUGAUGAGGAGGACACUGACUUUGAGGAUGCAGAAGAAGGAGAUGAAGAGGAUUCAGAUCACAGUAUGGAUUGAGGAGAUGACAUAGCAUCUACUGAUGGAUGUUAUCGACACUAG
rnacentral:lncRNA from 1 species